UGGGGAAUAUUGCACAAUGGGCGCAAGCCUUAUGCAGCCAUGCCGCGUGUAUGAAGAAGGCCUUCGGGUUGUAAAGUACUUUCAGCGGGGAGGAAGGGAGUAAAGUUAAUACCUUUGCUCAUUGACGUUACCCGCAGAAGAAGCACCGGCUAACUCCGUGCCAGCAGCCGCGGUAAUACGGAGGGUGCAAGCGUUAAUCGGAAUUACUGGGCGUAAAGCGCACGCAGGCGGUUUGUUAAGUCAGAUGUGAAAUCCCCGGGCUCAACCUGGGAACUGCAUCUGAUACUGGCAAGCUUGAGUCUCGUAGAGGGGGGUAGAAUUCCAGGUGUAGCGGUGAAAUGCGUAGAGAUCUGGAGGAAUACCGGUGGCGAAGGCGGCCCCCUGGACGAAGACUGACGCUCAGGUGCGAAAGCGUGGGGAGCAAACAGG
rnacentral:rRNA from 1 species